UACGUAGGGUGCAAGCGUUAAUCGGAAUUACUGGGCGUAAAGCGUGCGCAGGCGGUUUUGUAAGACUGUCGUGAAAUCCCCGGGCUUAACCUGGGAAUGGCGAUGGUGACUGCAAGGCUAGAGUUUGGCAGAGGGGGGUAGAAUUCCACGUGUAGCAGUGAAAUGCGUAGAGAUGUGGAGGAACACCGAUGGCGAGGGCAGCCCCCUGGGUCAAGAUUGACGCUCAUGCACGAAAGCGUGGGGAGCAAACAGG
rnacentral:rRNA from 1 species